rnacentral:lncRNA from 1 species
GUUGACAUGUCAUCACUUCAUUUUUUUGCGCCUGCGCAUAAAUCUGAGAAACGUGAGUUUGUCAUCAUUUUUUAUCUAGACAUAGGAUAGGUUGUGUGAAAAUAUUACUGAUGUUUAACGUUAAAAAUGGACCAAAAGAUUAAUGCUAAACAACAUUUGACAUGUUUGAACGAACAUAAAUAGAUUAUUUACUAGGUUUUUUUAGCUUUUCGGCGUGAUUUUACCAGCCCCCCAACCACGUUUUGUGGGAGCAUAAUGAACGCUAAGUACUUGGUGUUAUUUGGACAUAAAUUAUGAACUUUGUCAAAAGAAACCACAUUUGUUCCGGACCUGGAAUGCCUUCCGGACCUGGGAUCCUGCCUUCUGAUGGAGAUAAUCAAAGUGCGUAUUGGGGUAUCAGCCG